rnacentral:tRNA from 2 species
GACUCCGGCGUCCACGGGUUAGAGGAUCCGCGCUUUCAACGCGGAGACCGGGUUCGAGUCCCGGCGGAGUUG